CUUUAUCAAGUAUAUAUAUACGUGCAUUAAUUCAAUAUCAUUUAAAUUAGAUGGUAAUCAAAUUUCCCAUCUUAUCACAUGGACAAGCUUGCACCUGCAACUAGCAAGGUUGUAAGAUGGUUGAGCAAGCACUAACUUAGCCAAACACUAUUUGCUAGGAGGGGAAGGGUCACAGGUUUCAUGGCAAUGUUGGUAGGGUUAAUUAUCAGGUGGUAGGCAGCU
rnacentral:lncRNA from 1 species